UACGGAGGAUGCAAGCGUUAUCCGGAAUGAUUGGGCGUAAAGCGUCCGCAGGUGGCUAUGUAAGUCUGCUGUUAAAGAGUGAGGCUCAACCUCAUAAGAGCAGUGGAAACUACAUGGCUAGAGUGCGUUCGGGGCAGAGGGAAUUCCUGGUGUAGCGGUGAAAUGCGCAGAUAUCGGGAGGAACACCAACGGCGAAGGCAGCACUCUGGGCUGGAACUGACGCUGAGGAGCGAAAGCGUGGGUAGCAAACAGG
rnacentral:rRNA from 1 species